rnacentral:rRNA from 1 species
UAAAUGCGUUUCAUAUUUACGAAAUGUCGCUUACGUGAUUGCUGCAGACCUCGUCUCUUUAUUGAGUGCGACGCGUCUCUUCAACUCACUCGCACAUUCUCUUGAACGCAACGAGCGUGACCGCAACCUCUUGUUGUGUAUACCAAGUGUGUCGCUGGCUUUACUGCCAGCUCGCACUCCAAUGCACGUAUUUUGGUCACAUUGUCUCGGCCGUCGCGCGCAGCCUCGGCUGUGUCGGCGCCAGCAAUGUCCAAAUAAACUUGAGGGACCGCUGUAACAAUUCUUUUAAACCAGAGGAAGGUUGCGGCAAUAACAGGUCUGUGAUGCCCUUAGAUGUCCCGGGCUGCACACGUGCUACAAUGAUCAGUACAGUGAGCAUCUUUGCAAUACCAGCGUUUGGAGGCCUGGCCAAGUCACUUGUGACUCGGCUUGCAGUCUCUACGUUGCCUUCCCAAGUCUGACAAGAUUUGGAAAUCCAUUGGAAGUCCUGAAUCAAUCCCUAUUGAGCAUUUUUCUCUACAGUGGCGCCAGACUUCGUCCCAUGUCGGUUCGCCUGACUUGUGCGGCACUUGGCGUCUACUAUAUGCAAUUGUCAAUUCAUAGUGGGGACAGACGAUUGUUAAUUGUUCGUCUCGGUCUCAACUAGGAAUGCCUUGUACGGGUCUUUGGUUCACCAGACCACCCGGAAUACGUCCCUGCCCUUUGUACACACCGCCCGUCGCUCUUACCGAUGAACUUCUCUGUGAGUUUGAGGGACCGUCAAUUGUGUGGCAACACACGACGCUAUGGAAACUUAAACGAACAGUGUGAUUUAAAGGAAAGAGAAGUCGUAACAAGGCAUCAGGGUACCGAGCUCGA